UCCUGCGGCCACGCCCCGGGCCCUGCCCGGCCCCCGCAGCCAGGUGAGAGGGACUGAGCGCCCCGGGGCUCCAGCGGGGUCUCCCCACAUUCCCCAGCUCCGGGUGCUGCGAUAGGGGCCGCGGUGUGCACGAGAGCUGGGAUUUCUGUGUCCUUCCCCUGCCCUUCCUCCCCAGCGUUCCUCAUCUUCCUCCUGAUCAUCCUUCCUCCUCUUCCCUUCCUCCUGACCCUUCCUCCUCUUCCCCCUGACCCUUCCUCCUCUUCCUCCUCUUCCCCCUGACCCUUCCUCCUCUUCCUUUCCUCCUGAUCAUCCUUCCUCUUACUCCUGACCCUUCCUCUCUUCCUCCUGACCCUUCCUCCUCUUCCCUUCCUCCUGAUCACCCUUUCUCUGCUCUUCCUCCUGACCAUCUUUUCCCUGAACUCCCUUCCCCUGCCCUUCCUCCUGACGGUCCCCUGCUGUCCCCUGUGUCCCCAGGGCCACCGGCUGCUCUCCGGGCCCGGCCUGCCAGCGCCCAGCUGCCAAAGGACAGCACCAAGCUCCCGAGCGAGGAUUGCUCCGUGUCCCAGCACACCCUGACACUGCCCGGGAGGAAGGGGCCGUGGGAUGGGCUCGGUAGGAGCGCGGAGGGGCCGGGUCCUGCCCGGAGAGCCGGGGGGUGCUCGGCUUUGGCAGCGCUCCCGCUGUCCUUGCAGGGAAAGGAGCUUUUCCCAAGCUGGAGGAGAAGGUGGGACAGCUGGAGAAGGGAUGCCCUGGGAAGGGCAGGAUGAAAGCCGGCUCCGAGAUGAACCUGCUGGCCCUCGGGAGGUCACUCAAGGGCCACAUCACCGCCAGCUCGGCCGGCUCCGAGGUGGGCGAGCCCGGAGAAGGGCUGAAAUGCAGGGAGAGCGAGGUUUGGAGGGCACCCCCCAGCCUUUCCCCGCUGCUUUUCCCGCAGGGAUCGUUCCUCAGGCCGCUGCUGAAGCGCAGCACAUCAGCGAGGAGCGCCCUGAGGCCGCCCCAGUCCCCGCUCAUGGCGGGGAAGGGAAAUGUGAUGAGGAAGACAAAGGAGUGGGAGAUGAAAUCCGCGAUGUGAGCACGGAGCGAGAGUCUCCCAGAGAACAUCGGGCCGCACGUGGAUCGUGCAGGACCAGCCUGGAAUCAGCCUGGAAUUUGACUUUUAUCCAUCACUAUCAACGCUACAACUACGCACAUCUAUUUUUAUAUCCAGAUAUAUCGAUACACACAUAUCAGCUCUGCAGCCGUGGGCUGUCCCCACUGCAUCCCCACCUAUCCCAGCAGCUCGUUUUUGGGGUACAGAAUUCCCGGGUAAUUCAGGAACUGCUGGCUCUGUCCCAAAUCCAUCAGCAGUUCCCCAAUCCCCCUCCCAGUACCCCAAAUUUGCAGGGAUGGGUGUGGAUAAACCCUGGAUCCAGCAGGAGUGGGGGGCAGAGAUUUGGGAGGCAUCCGAUUGUCCAUUCCCUGGAGUCAGCGGGACCCGGGCUGGGCCCUGGGCUUUUCCAGCAGCUGAGCUUGGCAGGGCUUGGUUUGAAUUGGAGAAAUGUUAUUUUUUUUAAGGAUUAAAAAAAAAAUUGUCAUAAAACUUGGGUUGUGCUGUGGGAAAGGGAAAGGGGAUGCCCUUGUCCUGGUCCUGGUGAGUGUGGGCUGCAUCCCAGUGAAGGGGUUUGUGGGGUCAAUCCCAUGAAGGAGUUUGUGGGGUCAAUGCCCAUCCCCAUGAAGGAGUUUGUGGGGUCAAUCUCAAUCCCAGGAUGGGUUUUGUGGGGUCAAUCUCAAUCCCAGGAUGGGCUUUGUGGGGUCAAUCUCAAUCCCAGGAUGGGUUUUGUGGGGUCAAUCUCAAUCCCAGGAUGGGUUUUGUGGGGUCAGUCUCAAUCCCAGGAUGGGCUUUGUGGGGUCAGUUCACCCGUGUGAAUUCGUGGGGUCCAUCCGGGCUGGGUUGCUGCCCCACCCUGGUGCUCGGGGGGUUUGUUCCCCUCCAGGUGCCCGGGGUCCAUCCCCAUUCAGAGCUGCCC
rnacentral:lncRNA from 1 species